rnacentral:rRNA from 1 species
AGAGUUUGAUCCUGGCUCAGAACGAACGCUGGCGGCAUGCCUAACACAUGCAAGUCGAACGGGAUCCGAGCUUCGGUUCGGUGAGAGUGGCGGACGGGUGAGUAACGCGUGGGAACCUGCCCAGUGGUGGGGGAUAACUGCGGGAAACUGCAGCUAAUACCGCAUGAGCCCGAGAGAGGAAAGAUUUAUCGCCAUUGGAGGGGCCCGCGUUCGAUUAGGUAGUUGGUGAGGUAACGGCUCACCAAGCCGACGAUCGAUAGCUGGUCUGAGAGGAUGAUCAGCCACACUGGGACUGAGAUACGGCCCAGACUCCUACGGGAGGCAGCAGUGGGGAAUAUUGGACAAUGGGGGCAACCCUGAUCCAGCAAUGCCGCGUGAGUGAUGAAGGCCUUCGGGUUGUAAAGCUCUUUUGCCAGGGACGAUGAUGACGGUACCUGGAGAAUAAGCCCCGGCUAACUUCGUGCCAGCAGCCGCGGUAAUAC